CGGCAACUGAAAUCUGUCCUAGGGGCACUCAUAGACAUAUGAACUCCAGCUCUUCAGGCCUCUCUUCGAGAACACCACCUCUAACUCAUCAGGCAUCUGCCAGUCAUCUACUAAAGAGCUCUGCUUUGAAAAGACUCCUCAUCUACUGAGCUAAGAAAUACAAGUACGUAUAAAGGCAUACCUUGGAGAUACUGUGGGUUUUGUUCCAGGUCACCAAAAUAAAACAAACAGAGCAAUAAGGAAGCUACUGGAAGAUAUGCUCCACCAAAAUGAAGAAUAAAAUCGAGAAAGAAUAUGACAUGAGAUGAAACACAAAAGAGGAGGGACAGGAACUCCCAGGAGAACAAGGUGGAGGAAACCCAGACGAGUCAUGAGUGUGUUUGCUGCCUCAUCUACAGAUGGAGGGGGGCCAAGCUCCUGUUCAGCAUCACCUGUAACAAGAAGGCAUUGAAGAACAUGAAUCUUUCAAAAUAAAAUGGUCUAGUUCUGCA
ensembl:lncRNA novel transcript, antisense to TANC2